GGAAACAUCUCAGGGAGUCAGAAUAAGCGAGGCCGAUUCAGUGGACUCUGUGGCCUCUGGAACAGCUGGUCGGGAUGCCCAAGCCUGCUCUCUCAGCCACGGCCAAGGGACUUGUUUUGACCAGCGAAAUGUAAGCAUGAGUACCAUAUACCAGUUCCAGAUGCCUCUGAACCUGCACUGACUGCCUUGCUCAUCUCUAAAUGGACGAGGAUCUCGCCCUGUCUCGCAUCACGCCCAGCAUCUGCCCACAGGGAACUGCAGGCCCAGGUCAAGUCCCAAGAAAGUGCUCACGACUGCAGCUCCCCAGCCCUGCAGCUUCUCCAAGGAAUCCAAUGGCCCUGGAUGAGGGUUCCAGAGCUCAGGCUGCAGUGGGGACCCUGAGCUGCUGCUGAGCCCAGAAAAUUACCACCAGCAUUAAAUCUAUCCUCAGUUAACCCAACGCCUUUAAUAAUAAAAAAGAUUUUGC